AUUCCAUCUGCCUUCUAAAAAGGUAGCUCUUCUCCACAAGCAGGGGCUUUUCUCUGGCCAUUCUUUCUCUUGACACAAAUCCAGGUCAUCCGAGAUGGAGAGGCACAGCGGAGCCUUUGCGCCAGGUCCAAAUUUAGAUGCCGGUUUGGAUCUAAAUGACUUAGCCUUUAAGGGUAUUGUAAGCCAAGGGUGUGAUGUAAAUGAAGAAAACUACGUGUAUUUGAUGAGGAAUUGAAAAUAUGUUCCUUCAGACACACGCUCCCUAAUGUGAAGAACUUGAAUCGUUUCCAGAACUUUGUGGAAGUAGUACAGAAACUCCACCAGGAGGGCGCUUGGCACAGGACAACUCUACUUUGCUCUCCAUUUCAUUGCAUGUCAGACUGUACAGACUGCUGAAGCCUUUGCCAGCAGGAAUGAAGACAUAUAGAAGCCAGAAAGAGCAAUUCAGCUGAAUUUCCAAAAGGAGAAAAGUAAGGGCUGCACACUCUCUUUCCACAUGCUGCUGCUGUCAUUUCCCUAUCUUCUGACCAUAACUCUGUGGGGAGGGCCUAUGUCCCAUGUUCAAUCAUUGGCAUUUCUAGUUAAACGGCUCUUGGGUAACUGGUGAUGGAAAUUCAUAUUGUGAGGAUUACACUUCCCAGCUCCCACUGCCACUGAAGUCAGCAGUUUUUACAUUAUGCACUGGUAUCGUAAGAUAGCAUGGGUUGGGUUUUUGAGCGGAAAUGAGGAGAGGGUGUCAAAGAGGGAACAGAACUAAUAACUAUGCCCAGGGCUCACUUGCACAACCAUGAUUCACAUUUCAAUACAAAGCACUACAAAAUUAUUCCACUAUUGUAGUAGUUUGUGCAGUUAUUAGAAUCCAGAAAGCCAGAUAUGCCCAUCACAAAAGCGCAAAGGGAAAAGCUAUAAACUGACUGCAAAUUAGAUCCACAGAUCAUGCAAUUUCCAAGGCAAUGCACAAAACCCCUAGUAUCCAGAUGCUUAUGUAAGAACUCUACAUCCAUGACUUUUUGAAAAUGUUAAGCGUGAAUGUGACCAACAGCGGUAUCAUGCAGAUACACUAACCAGAGAGAAUACAUGAAUUUGUUACUUUGAACCUGUUUCAGAGACGUAAUACAAAUCUGAAUACACCUAAUCUCUGGAUAUGGUCUUCCAAGUGCUUGACAACCCUCCUGUUUUUGUACUCCCAGGCAAGCAGCGAAAACAGGUCUUUGCAGUCCCUGGUGUGCCAUCAUACAUUGCUCUUGGGCUUUAUUCAGUGCAGGGAUUUAGAAUCAUAGAAUCAUAGAAUCAUAGAGUUGGAAGAGACCACAAGGGCCAUCGAGUCCAACCCCCUGCCAAGCAGGAAACACCAUCAGAGCACUCCUGACAUAUGGUUGUCAAGCCUCUGCUUAAAGACCUCCAAAGAAGGAGACUCCACCACACUCCUUGGCAGCAAAUUCCACUGUCGAACAGCUCUUACUGUCAGGAAGUUCUUCCUAAUGUUUAGGUGGAAUCUUCUUUCUUGUAGUUGUAGACACUUGCCCCUGGCACAGG